UACAGAGGGGGCAAGCGUUAUUCGGAAUUACUGGGCGUAAAGCGCGUGUAGGCGGCCAUCUAAGUCGGGCGUGAAAUCCCACGGCUCAACCGUGGAAGUGCACUCGAAACUGGAUGGCUAGAGUCCUGGAGAGGAAGGUGGAAUGCUUGGUGUAGAGGUGAAAUUCGUAGAUAUCAAGCGGAACACCGGUGGCGAAGGCGGCCUUCUGGACAGUGACUGACGCUGAGACGCGAAAGCGUGGGGAGCAAACAGG
rnacentral:rRNA from 1 species